CCAGCCCCAGGGAGGAGUUCAGACCACCCGGCACUCCUUUCUCAGGGCCAGAGGAGCUGGGGGCAGCAGGGACAGAGCCUGGAUUCAGGGAAGAAGCCCCCUUGGUCCAUGGAUCCGUGUGUCCCACCCCAGAGCUCCCCAGGCCUGCUCACAAUAUCUUGUCCAGGUCUCAACUGCCCAGGCACACAGGCAAUCCCGGGGCGCACACGACUUCACGGUCUGCUUUUUCACGUUACCCCAACAUUCUGCCAUGUGUCUGCAUCGUCAUAGCUACGAUCUCCUGGGCUCCUUUUCCCUUUGGCACAAUCAUCGCAUAAUUCUCCAUGGAGAGGACAGACCCAGCUGGCUGACCCAAUGCCCAAAGGCCCGAUGUUUAAAUGGUUUCCAGUUUCUUCACUGGUGUAGGGGACCCAGCUGUCUAGGAUCUCGUGUGACUUUUUCUCUGAAGCCUGAUGAGCUGACACUGUCAGAGCUGCCACUUCCCAGCCUCCCCUCCGGCCUCUGGGGACGCCGUACUCUGCCCAUGUCACCACCUCCCCCAGGAGACUUGGCCCAGGACAGAUGGGGGCCUCAUUCAUUCGCUCAUUCAUUCCACAACUCCUCCUGUGCCCAGACCCGAGCCACACACCGAAGGUGCGGUGCCCCCCGAGGGAGAAGGCAACAAGUCAAGGGGCAAUUCUAUCCUAGGAUGAUACGUACCCUGAUGAGAAGACCGUGUGCAGGGAGCAAAGAGGGGCUCCGUAUCCUUCCAUGAGCUUCCCAGGGAACACACCAUCUAGGCUAAGAAAAGAGGAAUGAGUGGAAGGCGGCCAGCAUCUUGGGCACGAGGGCAGUUCGGAAGGCCUCCGGGAGCAUCCUGAGUCAGAGUUGCUGUGGAGGACACACAGGGAAAUCAUUGCGAGGUCUGAGAACAGAGCAGGGACCCGGGAGGAAGGACAGAUCACAGCCAGGCUCCUGGUGAGAGACCUGUGAAGGACGAGAGCCAGGCAGC